CAUUGAUGAGUGUGCACGGUGAUUUCGCUUUACGGAUUAGGCUAUUUAGUAUAAAAUAUAUCUAAGAUAACAUCUCAUGGAAACUGCAGCAGUUGAUGUCACGACGUCAGACGGUGCCUCUGUUCAACUGAAGAUCGCUUGUUUGGAGUUGAAUGUGGGUAGUAAUGACCCCCAAAUUGGCAGUUAUACUCUUGAAGCAUAUCGUUAAAAGAACACCAUGACUUACAACAACGCAUAGAUGGACUUGCCAUAGAUGGCGGUGACGGUAGCAACAACAGCGACGACAACGAUGCCGACCCUCAUGACCCAGAUCAGUUCCCUGUCGGUGGCCUGCAAUAAGAAGAGGUGAUGACCUUUCAGUCACAAUGUGGAGGCGCUAGAGCCCACAAGCCAACAUUAAAAAGGGGAAAUAAUCCAACCUUACCCAGAACGAGACUGAGGGAAUAGCCGAAAGGCGCCUGGCACCACACCAGCCCGUCAGCGAAGACAGCUUCCGCCGAACCGUUGAUGUAGCCUCCGCCCACCCACGUAGCUGAGGGAGAAAAUGAGGCAUGUGAUUGCAUUCUAUUUGGGAAAAUGAUUCGAUCGUUUACGUACAUUUGCCCAUUUGCGUCUGAUCACGAGCAGUAAUAGAAUGUGGAGGAAGUGUGAUUUUCCUGAAUAAUAAUCUGGUGUCUCUGAUAAUAAAAUUCGAGUGGAUCUUUUCUUGGUUGCCUCCUUCUGGUGAGGGUAGGGGAGACCUGACAGGGCUACCCACCCCCUGCGAAACGGUUUGUCCGCCCUGGGUUUGGGCGGGGUAGGUAGGGGAAUGGGAGAGUAGGGGAGACAUCCACUCUACUCUUACAAACCUGUUUGUCUACCCCUGGUGGGGGCAGAGUAAGUUGGUGAUCGGGAGGGUAGGGGAGACGUGAUGGGUAGCUCCGGAUUCCAGCGCAGCGUAGUGCUGCCA